AUGAAUCGUUCCAACAGCCAGAUUGAGCUGAGACCAUGUGUUUUUACCUCAGACUUCAGAGCGGAAACACGAGAAGGGAGAAGGAAUCGGAAGGGAACUGGGCGACGGUGGCCGAGACGGGUCCAAUCUGAUGAGCCUGCGCUGCGCCUCCCGGAGAGUUGCGCCUGCGCAUUGUGGUGGUCUCCACGGCGGGGCCUCGGAGCCAAGACGAGAACAUGCUACAGUGAAGACAGAGUCACAGCUUCCAUACAAAUAAGCUGGCCUGCUUAGAAUUCAGUGCUCCAAGGGAAGACCACCAAUGAAUGCCAGAAAAGGCAUUUCUGAGGCAAAAUAACAGGAAUCUGGACUUGAACUUGAGCCACUGCCUGGAGGUAAUAACUUGAUAAACUUUGUUUCUUCAUCAGUUGUCCUUCUGGGUUUCUUCUUUUUCUUUUCUGAUUGGUUUGGUUGGUUGGUUUCGUUUGGUUUUUGUUUUUUCGAGACAAGGUUUUUCUGUGAGGUCCAGGCUUUCCUGGAAUUCAGUCUGUAGACAAAGCUGGUCCUGAAUGAACAGAGAUUCACUUGUCUCUGCCUCUCAAGUGCUGGGACUAAAGGCAUGGGCUACCAAUGCCUGGCAACCUUCUUCUUCCUCCUCCUCCUUCUCCUCUUCUUCCUCCUUUUCUUCCUCUUUUCUCUCCCCCACCCCCAUUUUAACCCACUGAGUUGUUUUAAUGCUACCAGUAUGCGUAUAGGUGUAGGACCAUCCACUGGAGAAUAGGCAACCUCUCAAGGGUUGAACCUCCCUGCCAUGGGAGUCAUCAAUUUCAACUCUUCCUCAGUUGAUGGAUGGAGCUUUUUUCUUUUUUCCCUCUUCUUCCUUCUCCUCUUCCUCUUCCUCCUAGUUCUUCUCCUAUUCCUACUCCUGCUCCUUCCUAUUUUGUUUCUUUGUUUUUCUCUGUGAAGCUCUAGCUGUUUUGGUUCUUUUUUUUUUUUUUUCUUUUCCUUUUUUUU
rnacentral:lncRNA from 1 species